rnacentral:rRNA from 1 species
GGGGGAAUAUUGCGCAAUGGGGGCAACCCUGACGCAGCAACGCCGCGUGAUUGAAGAAGGUCUUCGGAUUGUAAAAAUCUUUUAUCAGGGACGAAGAAGUGACGGUACCUGAUGAAUAAGCUCCGGCUAACUACGUGCCAGCAGCCGCGGUAAUACGUAGGGAGCAAGCGUUAUCCGGAUUUACUGGGUGUAAAGGGCGAGUAGGCGGGUCGGCAAGUUGGGAGUGAAAUGUCGGGGCUUAACCCCGGAACUGCUUCCAAAACUGUUGAUCUUGAGUGAUGGAGAGGCAGGCGGAAUUCCCAGUGUAGCGGUGAAAUGCGUAGAUAUUAGGAGGAACACCAGUGGCGAAGGCGACUUUCUGGACAGUAACUGACGUUGAGGCACGAAAGUGUGGGGAGCAAACAGGAUUAGAUACCC